rnacentral:rRNA from 1 species
CCUACGGGUGGCAGCAGUGGGGAAUAUUGGGCAAUGGGCGCAAGCCUGACCCAGCAACGCCGCGUGAAGGAAGAAGGCUUUCGGGUUGUAAACUUCUUUUCUGAGGGACGAAGACAGUGACGGUACCUCAGGUCUAAGCCACGGCUAACUACGUGCCAGCAGCCGCGGUAAUACGUCGGUGGCAAGCGUUAUCCGGAUUUAUUGGGUGUAAAGGGCGUGUAGGCGGGAAAGCAAGUCAGAUGUGAAAACUCAGGGCUCAACCCUGAGCCUGCAUUUGAAACUGUUUUUCUUGAGUGCUGGGGAGGCAAUCGGAAUUCCGUGUGUAGCGGUGAAAUGCGUAGAGAUACGAAGGAACACCAGUGGCGAAGGCGGAUUGCUGGGCAGUAACUGACGCUGAGGCGCGAAAGCGUGGGGAGCAAACAGGAUUAGAUACCCCAGUAGUC